UACGGAGGGGGCUAGCGUUGUUCGGAAUCACUGGGCGUAAAGCGCACGUAGGCGGGUCAGCAAGUCAGGGGUGAAAUCCCGGGGCUCAACCUCGGAACUGCCUUUGAAACUGCUGGCCUGGAGGUCGAGAGAGGUGAGUGGAAUUCCUAGUGUAGAGGUGAAAUUCGUAGAUAUUAGGAAGAACACCAGUGGCGAAGGCGGCUCACUGGCUCGAUUCUGACGCUGAGGUGCGAAAGCGUGGGGAGCAAACAGG
rnacentral:rRNA from 1 species